ACAUACGACCACAGGACACUGAAAACAGAGCUUCCCGUUCGCUCAGCUGUACUUAAGCAGUGUACCGGCGUACUAGUAAUCAGGUGGGUGACCACUGGUGAAUCCAUGCUGUUGUAUGUU
rfam:Pyrenochaeta sp. DS3sAY3a unplaced genomic scaffold IQ07scaffold_8, whole genome shotgun sequence.